rnacentral:rRNA from 1 species
GUGAACGCUGGCGGUAGGCCUAACACCUGCAAGUCGAACGGCAGCACAGUAAGAGCUUGCUCUUACGGGUGGCGAGUGGCGGACGGGUGAGGAAUACAUCGGAAUCUACAUUUUCGUGGGGGAUAACGUAGGGAAACUUACGCUAAUACCGCAUACGACCUACGGGUGAAAGCAGGGGAUCUUCGGACCUUGCGCGAUUGAAUGAGCCGAUGUCGGAUUAGCUAGUUGGCGGGGUAAAGGCCCACCAAGGCGACGAUCCGUAGCUGGUCUGAGAGGAUGAUCAGCCACACUGGAACUGAGACACGGUCCAGACUCCUACGGGAGGCAGCAGUGGGGAAUAUUGGACAAUGGGCGCAAGCCUGAUCCAGCCAUACCGCGUGGGUGAAGAAGGCCUUCGGGUUGUAAAGCCCUUUUGUUGGGAAAGAAAAGCAGCAGGUUAAUACCCCGCUGUUCUGACGGUACCCAAAGAAUAAGCACCGGCUAACUUCGUG